CGCGGGCGGGGGCGCGGCGCUACUAGUGGAGGCGUGUUUGUCCGGGGGCGGGGUCAACCGCGGGCCGCGGCCCGCGGACCGCAGGUCGCAGCGCGAGCAUAAAUUCGAAAGCAUAGAGGAGGAUUUGCUUGGCGCACCCAGAGGCACACACCACUCAUGACUUUUUUUUUUAAGACCUGGACAUUAUAGUCCAGCAUUCAUUAAUAAGAAGAGAAAGCAGAGUUUACAUAGGCGCCAGAGGCGCCAAGAUCAACUUCCGGUCCAGACAGGGUGCUGAGCCGGCCAAAAAGAGAAAAAAUGACUACUCGCGGAAGAUGUGUCUGACUAAAUAGUCAAGCGAUUUUGCGCCCGCAAAGAUCCAGAGCCUGACGUCGUCCCUUAGGUUGGAGAUGAACCUUGAAAUUGUCAGCUCCUGUUUCCUGAAGAUCCUGUUAUUGCAUUCCUUCCACAGGGACCAAAUGAUCAACAGAACCAGUGAACCCAUUCCUUUAUUCAGCUGGUUUUGUGCCGCGAAGAAUUGACAGAACCAGGGUUGGAGGUCCUGAGUGUUGGUCCAGCAAGCAGGUGAGAGAGAUUGACAGUUUGCCCAAGCAGCAGCGGACAACCAAACCUGCUUAGAAAAAGGGCAUUCAGCCACAAGGUGGAAGGCCGUCUCCAGGUUCCGUUCACAGAGUGGGCAGAAGUAGCAGUUCGGCCAUUCACGCAGUAGCAGUCGAUCGGCUGUCCAGAUCCUAUUCUGUAGUAGCAGCCAAACAAAGAACUUGCACUUGGACGGGCCCCAAGGUUUCCAAGUGUUGAAGGCAACCGGUGAUCUCGUGUGACCUUCCAAUUGAAAGUCGUACGCAGAAUUCGUGGAGUAUAAACCUGAUGCAGUCAACUUCCAAGUGAGCUGGUCUUCUUCGUUGCCAUCCAAAGUUAACUGUUGUGCCUCGAUGCGCUCCCAGAGAACGAAGAAUUUUGUUAGCAGAGGAGGGGGAACAGAAUUGCAGGCGCUUGACCAUCCAGCCAGCUAGAAUUCCAGAACAGAGCUUUUCUCCCAUUGUGCACCUGAACUCGGGUUGCUGCCGCAAACAGUGCCCGAUCCGUAUCAUCCACCGGCAAUUCAGAGCCUGCCCAAGGUUUCUCCGGGUUCGUCCAGGCGUACCAAAGCCAAACCAAGCGCAAGGCGCGACCAAAACGUUCGAGGUCCAGUAUGCCCAGAUCUCCAAGCUCAGUCGGGAGGCAAGUUUUCAGCCAGUUUACCUUGCAUUUGCCACCAUGGUACUCUUGGUUGCCAGCCCAAAGAAAACGCCUCCUUGUAUUGUCCACCACUCAUGACUUGCAAAGGGAACUUGCGCGCCUAGGCAUACAAUACAAUUUUUGUUUGAAAAAUUGGCUGUGUACUAUUAAAAGAUGCAAAUAUUAAAAAAAAUCAAUUGAAAGAUUCAGCUUUGAGAAA